rnacentral:rRNA from 1 species
GUCGACGCUUCUUUUUCACCGGAGCUUGCUCCACCGGAAAAAGAGGAGUGGCGAACGGGUGAGUAACACGUGGGUAACCUGCCCAUCAGAAGGGGAUAACACUUGGAAACAGGUGCUAAUACCGUAUAACAAUCGAAACCGCAUGGUUUUGAUUUGAAAGGCGCUUUCGGGUGUCGCUGAUGGAUGGACCCGCGGUGCAUUAGCUAGUUGGUGAGGUAACGGCUCACCAAGGCCACGAUGCAUAGCCGACCUGAGAGGGUGAUCGGCCACAUUGGGACUGAGACACGGCCCAAACUCCUACGGGAGGCAGCAGUAGGGAAUCUUCGGCAAUGGACGAAAGUCUGACCGAGCAACGCCGCGUGAGUGAAGAAGGUUUUCGGAUCGUAAAACUCUGUUGUUAGAGAAGAACAAGGAUGAGAGUAACUGUUCAUCCCUUGACGGUAUCUAACCAGAAAGCCACGGCUAACUACGUGCCAGCAGCCGCGGUAAUACGUAGGUGGCAAGCGUUGUCCGGAUUUAUUGGGCGUAAAGCGAGCGCAGGCGGUUUCUUAAGUCUGAUGUGAAAGCCCCCGGCUCAACCGGGGAGGGUCAUUGGAAACUGGGAGACUUGAGUGCAGAAGAGGAGAGUGGAAUUCCAUGUGUAGCGGUGAAAUGCGUAGAUAUAUGGAGGAACACCAGUGGCGAAGGCGGCUCUCUGGUCUGUAACUGACGCUGAGGCUCGAAAGCGUGGGGAGCAAACAGGAUUAGAUACCCUGGUAGUCCACGCCGUAAACGAUGAGUGCUAAGUGUUGGAGGGUUUCCGCCCUUCAGUGCUGCAGCUAACGCAUUAAGCACUCCGCCUGGGGAGUACGACCGCAAGGUUGAAACUCAAAGGAAUUGACGGGGGCCCGCACAAGCGGUGGAGCAUGUGGUUUAAUUCGAAGCAACGCGAAGAACCUUACCAGGUCUUGACAUCCUUUGACCACUCUAGAGAUAGAGCUUCCCCUUCGGGGGCAAAGUGACAGGUGGUGCAUGGUUGUCGUCAGCUCGUGUCGUGAGAUGUUGGGUUAAGUCCCGCAACGAGCGCAACCCUUAUUGUUAGUUGCCAUCAUUCAGUUGGGCACUCUAGCAAGACUGCCGGUGACAAACCGGAGGAAGGUGGGGAUGACGUCAAAUCAUCAUGCCCCUUAUGA